AUGCUCGCGCGGCGGGGGGCGGGGCGACGGCCCGGCGGGAGGAGCGGACCCGCGCGGAGGCGGUGCCUCAGGUCUGUGCGCGCCCCCGGCCUCGUCCCGGGGAGGGGGGGCCGCGGGGGGAGCGGGAGGCAGCCCGGGAACGGGGGGGGGCAGCCGGGGGAAGGGGGAGGGCCCGCGGGGAGGGUCCGCCCGGGAAGGGGGGCCCCCGCGGGGGAGGGGGCAGCCCGGGGAUGGGGGAGCCGCGGGGGGAGCAGGAGGCAGCCCGGGAAGAAGGGGGGCAGCCGGGGGAAGGGGGUACAGCUCGGGGAGGGGGGCCGCGGGGGGAGGAGGGGGCCGCCGGGGGGAGAGGGCAGCCGGGGGAGGGGGAGGGCUCGUGGGGGAGACUCCUGGAGGGGGGGCCGCGGGGGGAGGAGGAGGCAGUCCGGGGAGGAGCCCGCGGGGGGCGGGGGGCAGCCCGAGGAGGGGCCGGCGGGGCAGGGGCUCUCCCGCCUCUGGGGGGCGCUGAGCCGCGGGUCCCAGGCCCGCGGGGGGGGCGCCGAGGCCUGGCGCGGGCCGCGCGGGGUGAGUCACCGGUGCCGCUCCCGUCCGCUCCCCCGCCCGAGCUCCGGCGGCCGGCAGCCCGAGGAGCGGCGGGGGGGGGACUGGGGACUCCCUCCCCGCGGCCCGAGCCCCCGGGGAGCCGUCGGCGCUGCCCCGCGCAGCCCCGGGCGCUGUCAGGGUGGAAGGCGGCCCUCGCGGCCCAGAGCGGCCUCUGCGGGCCUGGAGCUGCAGCGGCCUCUGCAGACCUGGGGCCGUGACCCGGGGUCAGGCCUGAAGCGGCCUCUGCAGACCUGGGGCCAUGACCUGAGGUUGGGCCUGGAGCGGCCUCUGCAGACCUGGGCCUGGGCCUGGAGCGACCGCUGCAGACCUGGGCCUGGGGCUGCAUCGGCCUCUGCAGACCUGGGGCCGCGACCUGGGGUCGGGCCUGGAGCGGCCUCUGCGGGCCUGGGCCUGGGCCUGGAGCUGCAGCGGCCUCUGCAGACCUGGGGCUGCGACCCGGGGUCGGCCUGGAGCGGCCUCUGCAGACCUGGGGCAGCGACCCAGGGUCGGGCCUGGAGCGGGCUCUGCGGGCCUGGGCCUGGAGCUGCAGCGGCCUCUGCAGACCUGGGGCUGCGACCCGGGGUCGGCCUGGAGCGGCCUCUGCAGACCUGGGCCUGGGGCUGCAGCGGCCUCUGCAGACCUGGGGCCGCGACCCGGGGCGCUGGCCCCUGCAGGGCGCUGCGCCCUGCGCUCCGGGUGGGCCGCGCGGCUUCAAGCCGUGGACCCCGUCUGUUAGACGAGGUACCGACCAGAGGCCACAUGCCCGGCUGUAGUUGUCCUUUGCUGGUACUAUUUAUUGUACUUUGCUGGUUUUAUUUAUUGAAAAAAUUUUUCUGGUUUGAAAAAAAUUUUUUAUUCUUUUAUUUAUAA
rnacentral:lncRNA from 1 species